rnacentral:rRNA from 1 species
GUUGGGUAGGGGAGCGUUCUGUAAGCCUGUGAAGGUGGCCUGUGAGGGUUGCUGGAGGUAUCAGAAGUGCGAAUGCUGACAUAAGUAACGAUAAAGCGGGUGAAAAGCCCGCUCGCCGGAAGACCAAGGGUUCCUGUCCAACGUUAAUCGGGGCAGGGUGAGUCGACCCCUAAGGCGAGGCCGAAAGGCGUAGUCGAUGGGAAACGGGUUAAUAUUCCCGUACUUGGUGUUACUGCGAAGGGGGGACGGAGAAGGCUAUGUUGGCCGGGCGACGGUUGUCCCGGUUUAAGCGUGUAGGUGUGUGUUCCAGGUAAAUCCGGUUCACUUUAACACUGAGGCGUGAYGACGAGGCACUACGGUGCUGAAGCAACAAAUGCCCUGCUUCCAGGAAAAGCCUCUAAGCAUCAGGUAACAUCAAAUCGUACCCCAAACCGACACAGGUGGUCAGGUAGAGAAUACCAAGGCGCUUGAGAGAACUCGGGUGAAGGAACUAGGCAAAAUGGUGCCGUAACUUCGGGAGAAGGCACGCUGACACGUAGGUGAAGUGAUUUACUCACGGAGCUGAAGUCAGUCGAAGAUACCAGCUGGCUGCAACUGUUUAUUAAAAACACAGCACUGUGCAAACACGAAAGUGGACGUAUACGGUGUGACGCCUGCCCGGUGCCGGAAGGUUAAUUGAUGGGGUCAGCGCAAGCGAAGCUCCUGAUCGAAGCCCCGGUAAACGGCGGCCGUAACUAUAACGGUCCUAAGGUAGCGAAAUUCCUUGUCGGGUAAGUUCCGACCUGCACGAAUGGCGUAAUGAUGGCCAGGCUGUCUCCACCCGAGACUCAGUGAAAUUGAACUCGCUGUGAAGAUGCAGUGUACCCGCGGCAAGACGGAAAGACCCCGUGAACCUUUACUAUAGCUUGACACUGAACAUUGAGCCUUGAUGUGUAGGAUAGGUGGGAGGCUUUGAAGYGUGGACGCCAGUCUGCRUGGAGCCGACCUUGAAAUACCACCCUUUAAUGUUUGAUGUUCUAACGUGGACCCGUWAYCCGGGUUGCGGACAGUGUCUGGUGGGUAGUUUGACUGGGGCGGUCUCCUCCUAAAGAGUAACGGAGGAGCACGAAGGUUGGCUAAUCCUGGUCGGACAUCAGGAGGUUAGUGCAAUGGCAUAAGCCAGCUUGACUGCGAGCGUGACGGCGCGAGCAGGUGCGAAAGCAGGUCAUAGUGAUCCGGUGGUUCUGAAUGGAAGGGCCAUCGCUCAACGGAUAAAAGGUACUCCGGGGAUAACAGUGUUCGGGUUGUCAUGCCAAUGGCACUGCCCGGUAGCUAAAUGCGGAAGAGAUAAGUGCUGAAAGCAUCUAAGCACGAAACUUGCCCCGAGAUGAGUUCUCCCUGAGACUUAGAGUCUCCUGAAGGAACGUUGAAGACGACGACGUUGAUAGGCCGGGUGUGUAAGCGCAGCGAUGCGUUGAGCUAACCGGUACUAAUGAACCGUGAGGCUUAACCUU